CACCAGCGCCACGAGUGGCUAUCACGAUUAUUGGGCCUAAAGCGUCCGUAGUCAGUUCUGUACAUCUUCUGUGAAAUCGUUGCGCUUAACGUAACGGCACGCGGAAGACACGGCAGAGCUUGAGAGCGGGAGGCGUGUAGGGUACUCCGGGGGGACCGGUAAAAUGGUAUAAUCCCCGGAAGACCACCUGUGGCGAAGGCGCUACACGAGAACGCAUCUGACGAUGAGGGACGAAAGCCAGGGGAGCAAACCGG
rnacentral:rRNA from 1 species